GCCUCGUGGCGCAGCGGCUAACGCUCUCGUUUUUGAAUUCCGCAUCCCGGGUUCAACCCCGGACGGGGCC